GAUCACGUGGGAAUGAAGGUAGAGAGAAAGAAUGAUUACCAGCCUUGCGGUGAAGUAAGAAAAAGUGGAUUUCGUAGGGGAAGAAGUGGAGCAUGUCAAUCAUGUCUUGGAAGUUGAGUAUCUCUGUGUUGAAAAAUGGUGUCUUAGGCCUUCGACUAUUUUUCCAGUGCGCUUGUUUCCUCGAGGUAAAAGAUAAAAAUGUUAUAAAAUAGUUCACGUUGUUUGUACAUGAACUGGAAUAUUUCGAGGGAGAUCAAACGAUCAUUUAAUCACGAAUCAUUCUUUUUUGUUUGUUUAAAUCAUAGAUGGUAUAGUUCAGUGAAAGAAAUACGUAAUAAGUAAUAGAUGUUGGUUAAGAAAACGCAGGCGUUUCGUUCAGACUCAUUGAGUGAGUACGGCAUGCUGAAAUAGGUAUACGGUGGUGCGGCUCGAUGCUGAUCGCGGAGCUUGACCUGGAGAGGGGGAGCGUAAGGAGAGGGUAGAAUUGGUGUUUGGAGGGGGCUGGCGUUGUCGUUAGUGCCGUAAGUCGACACUCAAGAGCCUAGGACCACUUCACGUGACGGAAGACAGUCGGGGCAAACCAUUUUCGAAUGUGUACAUUAAAAACGAAAGAUAAUAUCGUCAGAUUCUAAAUUACGAGCAAGAAGAAUUGGAUGUUAUUCUACAAUACAACUGAGUUUCGUUAUUUAUGAACGCUCACUCGAAGCGAUAAAACAACACAAGAUCUCAUGCAAGGACUACCUCCUCAUCCUGUCGCGAGAUUUACAUUCUGAAGCAUCGACGCGCAAUUAAGAUACAGUCUAGACUUCGUUCAACUGCACGCUUGGCGGAUACUUUAAAUGGAGGUUUCUAAAAACACAAGCAAGCUUCGAGUGAUAGCCUCGUCGCUUGAAAUUUAGUAUCAUUAUGUGGUCUCUUCGAGGCGGGAUAAUCUCGCGGCAUUGUCGCGAGCGAAAUGACAGCCUGGCUUCGUGUUAACUACACUCCUUCGCGCGAUAAAUUAUGGAACGGCUGCAACAGAGACGGAUAUCUUUCGCAUACACGCUAUUCGAAAGGGGAAGCGUUCAGCCGACGAGAAACAAGAAAUAACGGCGAGCACAGAAGUGGCGAGGAAGAAAAGUAGGACGGGCAACGUCUUCACCUCGAGCAGCCUCGGCCGUUGCUUCUUUUUUCGAG